UCCUGAGAGAUCCAGCUGGUGGCCCUCGGGGGACUGUCAGAGUCAUGUUGAAAUGGAAGUACCCCUUUCAGCUGCCGGUGGACGCACUGCGGGGUGGACAGGAGGAGCAGGACAGAGCGAUGAGGAGCACUCAGAGGGAGGAGCGAAGAGAAGAAGACUCACCGAGACCCAUAGCAAAGCCAAGAGUGAUGACCAGACAUCCUGAACCCAGAGACACUAAAUCUGUGCAGAAAGAGACAAAAGACUGGCCUCAGCCUCUGCUUGUACAACAGAAAAGCUCACAGCACAUACGAUCGGAGCAAAUCACCUCUGUGAAACCUCUGGAUACUCGUCCGUCAGCAGACAGGAGGAGAUCGAGCAGGAGGUCAGCAGAAGUGUGCCAGAAAACACCUGAUCUGACGCCGGAGCCAAGAUCAAAACUACACAAACAGAAGUAAGAUACACUUCAUUUGUGUACAAUAUAUAUGUCUAUAUUUAUGUUUAAAAUAUGUAAAUA